rnacentral:lncRNA from 1 species
GUAUAUAUAGGCAUCCCCCAAUAUCCAACCGUUACAACAUUAUUUCCCAACUCGGUGACACCGAAAUGAAUCUCGGUUGUACCGAGUUGCAGUAAAUGUGACAACUUUUGAAUUCUCGGUGGUACCGAUACGAUGACCUAGAGCAGUUUCCAAAUCUCAGUGAGACCGAUUCCAAUCUCGGAAAUUCCGAUUCUUGGAAUUUGCUCAACAGAAAGUUGGUCACAUGUUUUCCGUGGCACCGAUGUGAAACUUGGUGGUACCGAGAGAUUAAGGUUUGGCAAAGGAUCUGUCACUUGGAAAAUCGGUAGGGGCGAGUGGGAAAAGUUGGUGGCACCGAUUUUGCUGGUUUGGCUCGGGAC